UACGUAGGGAGCGAGCGUUAUCCGGAUUUAUUGGGUGUAAAGGGUGCGUAGAUGGAUAAACAAGUUGGUUGUGAAAUCCCUCGGCUUAACUGAGGAAUUGCAACCAAAACUGUAGAUCUUGAGUACUGGAGGGGAAAGCGGAAUUCCUAGUGUAGCGGUGAAAUGCGUAGAUAUUAGGAAGAACACCGGUGGCGAAGGCGGCCGCCUGGCCUGUUACUGACGCUGAGGCACGAAAGCGUGGGGAGCAAAUAGG
rnacentral:rRNA from 1 species